UAAUGGGUGAUGGCGUGCCUUUUGUAGAAUGAACCGGCGAGUUACGAUUUGAUGCAAGGUUAAGCAGUAAAUGUGGAGCCGUAGCGAAAGCGAGUCUGAAUAGGGCGUUUAGUAUUUGGUCGUAGACCCGAAACCAGGUGAUCUACCCUUGGUCAGGUUGAAGUUCAGGUAACACUGAAUGGAGGACCGAACCGACUUACGUUGAAAAGUGAGCGGAUGAACUGAGGGUAGCGGAGAAAUUCCAAUCGAACCUGGAGAUAGCUGGUUCUCUCCGAAAUAGCUUUAGGGCUAGCCUCAAGUGAUGAUUAUUGGAGGUAGAGCACUGUUUGGACGAGGGGCCCCUCUCGGGUUACCGAAUUCAGACAAACUCCGAAUGCCAAUUAAUUUAACUUGGGAGUCAGAACAUGGGUGAUAAGGUCCGUGUUCGAAAGGGAAACAGCCCAGACCACCAGCUAAGGUCCCAAAAUAUAUGUUAAGUGGAAAAGGAUGUGGCGUUGCCCAGACAACUAGGAUGUUGGCUUAGAAGCAGCCAUCAUUUAAAGAGUGCGUAAUAGCUCACUAGUCGAGUGACACUGCGCCGAAAAUGUACCGGGGCUAAACAUAUUACCGAAGCUGUGGAUUGUCCUUUGGACAAUGGUAGGAGAGCGUUCUAAGGGCGUUGAAGCAUGAUCGUAAGGACAUGUGGAGCGCUUAGAAGUGAGAAUGCCGGUGUGAGUAGCGAAAGACGGGUGAGAAUCCCGUCCACCGAUUGACUAAGGUUUCCAGAGGAAGGCUCGUCCGCUCUGGGUUAGUCGGGUCCUAAGCUGAGGCCGACAGGCGUAGGCGAUGGAUAACAGGUUGAUAUUCCUGUACCACCUAUAAUCGUUUUAAUCGAUGGGGGGACGCAGUAGGAUAGGCGAAGCGUGCGAUUGGAUUGCACGUCUAAGCAGUAAGGCUGAGUAUUAGGCAAAUCCGGUACUCGUUAAGGCUGAGCUGUGAUGGGGAGAAGACAUUGAGUCUUCGAGUCGUUGAUUUCACACUGCCGAGAAAAGCCUCUAGAUAGAAAAUAGGUGCCCGUACCGCAAACCGACACAGGUAGUCAAGAUGAGAAUUCUAAGGUGAGCGAGCGAACUCUCGUUAAGGAACUCGGCAAAAUGACCCCGUAACUUCGGGAGAAGGGGUGCUCUUUAGGGUUAACGCCCAGAAGAGCCGCAGUGAAUAGGCCCAAGCGACUGUUUAUCAAAAACACAGGUCUCUGCUAAACCGUAAGGUGAUGUAUAGGGGCUGACGCCUGCCCGGUGCUGGAAGGUUAAGAGGAGUGGUUAGCUUCUGCGAAGCUACGAAUCGAAGCCCCAGUAAACGGCGGCCGUAACUAUAACGGUCCUAAGGUAGCGAAAUUCCUUGUCGGGUAAGUUCCGACCCGCACGAAAGGCGUAACGAUUUGGGCACUGUCUCAACGAGAGACUCGGUGAAAUCAUAGUACCUGUGAAGAUGCAGGUUACCCGCGACAGGACGGAAAGACCCCGUGGAGCUUUACUGUAGCCUGAUAUUGAAAUUCGGCACAGCUUGUACAGGAUAGGUAGGAGCCUUUGAAACGUGAGCGCUAGCUUACGUGGAGGCGCUGGUGGGAUACUACCCUAGCUGUGUUGGCUUUCUAACCCGCACCACUUAUCGUGGUGGGAGACAGUGUCAGGCGGGCAGUUUGACUGGGGCGGUCGCCUCCUAAAAGGUAACGGAGGCGCUCAAAGGUUCCCUCAGAAUGGUUGGAAAUCAUUCAUAGAGUGUAAAGGCAUAAGGGAGCUUGACUGCGAGACCUACAAGUCGAGCAGGGUCGAAAGACGGACUUAGUGAUCCGGUGGUUCCGCAUGGAAGGGCCAUCGCUCAACGGAUAAAAGCUACCCCGGGGAUAACAGGCUUAUCUCCCCCAAGAGUUCACAUCGACGGGGAGGUUUGGCACCUCGAUGUCGGCUCAUCGCAUCCUGGGGCUGUAGUCGGUCCCAAGGGUUGGGCUGUUCGCCCAUUAAAGCGGUACGCGAGCUGGGUUCAGAACGUCGUGAGACAGUUCGGUCCCUAUCCGUCGUGGGCGUAGGAAAUUUGAGAGGAGCUGUCCUUAGUACGAGAGGACCGGGAUGGACAUACCUCUGGUGUACCAGUUGUCGUGCCAACGGCAUAGCUGGGUAGCUAUGUGUGGACGGGAUAAGUGCUGAAA
rnacentral:rRNA from 1 species